UAAGAAGGCCGUACCACCCACCCUGAACCUGCCUGUUCUCAGAAGCUAAGCAGGAUAGGGCCUGGCUAGAACUUGGAUGGGAGGUUAGGGCAACAGGCAGCUUUUCAUAC
rnacentral:rRNA from 1 species